rnacentral:rRNA from 1 species
AUUGAACGCUGGCGGCAUGCCUUACACAUGCAAGUCGAACGGCAGCGCGGGAGCAAUCCUGGCGGCGAGUGGCGAACGGGUGAGUAAUACAUCGGAACGUGCCCAAUCGUGGGGGAUAACGCAGCGAAAGCUGUGCUAAUACCGCAUACGAUCUACGGAUGAUAGCAGGGGAUCGCAAGACCUUGCGCGAAUGGAGCGGCCGAUGGCAGAUUAGGUAGUUGGUGAGGUAAAGGCUCACCAAGCCUUCGAUCUGUAGCUGGUCUGAGAGGACGACCAGCCACACUGGGACUGAGACACGGCCCAGACUCCUACGGGAGGCAGCAGUGGGGAAUUUUGGACAAUGGGCGAAAGCCUGAUCCAGCCAUGCCGCGUGCAGGAUGAAGGCCUUCGGGUUGUAAACUGCUUUUGUACGGAACGAAACGGCCUUUUCUAAUAAAGAGGGCUAAUGACGGUACCGUAAGAAUAAGCACCGGCUAGCUACGUGCCAGCAGCCGCGGUAAUACGUAGGCUGCAAGCGUUAAUCGGAAUUACUGGGCGUAAAGCGUGCGCAGGCGGUUAUGUAAGACAGUUGUGAAAUCCCCGGGCUCAACCUGGGAACUGCAUCUGUGACUGCAUAGCUAGAGUACGGUAGAGGGGGAUGGAAUUCCGCGUGUAGCAGUGAAAUGCGUAGAUAUGCGGAGGAACACCGAUGGCGAAGGCAAUCCCCUGGACCUGUACUGACGCUCAUGCACGAAAGCGUGGGGAGCAAAC